UUCUGACAAGGAUAUCCAUCAAGGUUAUUUGGAGGGACAUAAUGAAACGUCACAAGUUCUACUUUGCUGAUUCUUUCAGAGAAUUGUUUCAUUACUAAUGCGCUGUCGCGGACAUGUAUUAAUCCCAAAUUCCAAAUCACUCUGGAAUCCAGUCAAAAUCCAGUCAAAAUCACUCCGGAAUCCUUCUCCGUAAUUGAUUCGCAAACUACUCUCAAGGACUGCUCUGAACCUCAAAUAUCGUGGGCACAUGAAGUUGUGGUGUAAUUUUUACAGAAACAAGUGAUCCAGGCAGCAAGGUAUUGAUUGAUGCAACUAUGUUGUAAUGUUUCAGUGACUGUUAAUAUUUUUUUAGGAAGAAUAACCAAUUCAGAUGAUACCCAAGGAGUUCUGGAUGGGAGAUUGUUUAUUUCUACGUCGUGCAAUUCAACAUUUCAGUACUAAAAGUAUUUUUCAUGUUAUCCAAGUAUUUUUCAU
rnacentral:lncRNA from 1 species